GGGUCAGUAGGUUGGUCGUGCCACCGGUACGUACUGGUCUCACUGAUUCCUCCUUCCUGAAGAACCGUAAUGCCAUUAAUUUGGUGUUGCGGGGAAACAGGACUGUUACUUUGAAAAAAUUAGAGUGUUUAAAGCAAGCUAACGCUUCAAUACAUUAGGAUGGAAUAAUGAAAUAGGACGAUCGAUCCUAUUUUGGUGGUUUCUAGGAUUGACGUA
rnacentral:rRNA from 1 species